rnacentral:tRNA from 1 species
GCACAUGUAGUUCAGUGGUAGAGCUCCUAGUGGUAGGUAAGCGGAAGCCCCGGGUUCGAUUCCCGGUCUGUGCA